rnacentral:rRNA from 1 species
CCAAAUGGGUGGUAAACAUCACCUAAGGCUAAAUAUUGGCGAGAGACCGAUAGCGAACAAGUACCGUGAGGGAAAGAUGAAAAGAACUUUGAAAAGAGAGUUAAACAGUACGUGAAAUUGUUGAAAGGGAAACGAUUGAAGUCAGUCGUGCUGGCGCGAAAUCAACCUUCUCGUCUUGAGAUCACAUGGCGUGGCGAGCCUCAAAACCGUCACGAAGCGUGAACUCUUGGUGAAAUGGAGCACUUUCGUGUCCGCUGGUUAACAUCAAUUUCGAACGUCAUAAAAAGGCUGGAGGGAUGUGGCUCCUUCGGGAGUGUUAUAACCUUUAGCGGAAUGUGGUGUUCGGGAUUGAGGAUUGCAACGAAUACCUUUAGGGCUGUUCCACCUGGCUUCUCUUUGGUAUCCUGGUGACGACAGCUUGCUGACGUUGUUAGGAUUCGCCUUUGAACAGGCUAGAGUGUGAGCAAA